AAGGAGCUGAGCCGGAAGGCAAAGCUCUCAAUUUACCGGUCGAUCUACGUUCCCAUCUUCACCUAUGGUCAUGAGCUUUGGGUCAUGACCGAAAGGAUAAGAUCACGGGUACAAGCGGCCCAAAUGAGUUUCCUCCGCCGUGUGGCGGGGCUCUCCCUUAGGGUGAGAAGCUCUGCCAUCCGGGAGGAACUCAAAGUAAAGCCGCUGCUCCUUCACAUCGAGAGGAGCCAGAUGAGGUGGUUCGGGCAUCUGGUCAGGAUGCCAUCCGAACGCCUCCCUAGGGAGGUGUUUAGGGCACGUCCAACCGGUAGGAGGCCACGGGGAAGACCUAGGACACGUUGGGAAGACUAUGUCUCCCGGCUGGCCUGGGAACGCCUCGGGAUCCCCCGGGAAGAGCUAGACGAAGUGGCUGGGGAGAGGGAAGUCUGGGUUUCCCUGCUUAGGCUGUUGCCCCCGCGACCCGACCUCGGAUAAGCGGAAGAUGAUGGAUGGAUGGAUGGAUGGUAUUUAUCUACACGGUCAAUUUUGGGGGUAUGGUUAUCUAUAAUACAAGGUCAAUAUGAAUUUUAUUUGUGUCUCGUGGUUUUUGUUAUCUACAAGGUCAAUUUUGGGGGUCUGGUCAUCUACAAUACAAGGUCAAUAUGUAUUUCCUUUGUCAUGGUUUUUGUUAUCUACAAGGUCAAUUUUAAGGAGUCUGGUCUUUUACAAUACAAGGUCAGUAUGUAUUUCCUUUGUCAUGGUUUUUGUUAUCUACAAGGUCAAUUUUAGGGGUCUUGUCAUCGACAAUACAUGGUAAAUAUGUAUUUAAUUUGUGUCAUCAGGGUUUUUGAUAUCUACAAGGUCAAUUUUGGAGUCUGGUUAUCUACAAUACAAAGUCAAUAUGUAUAUAAUUUGUGUCAUCAUUGUGUUUGUUUCCUCAGUUUUUGAUAUCUGCAAGGUCAAAAUUGGUUUAUUCCACUAUGCAAUGCAAAACUCUUACCUAAUGUUAUCCAUUUAUUCAUUCAUGUGACUCAUUUCUCAUUCUUACACCCUGCAGCGCUACAACAGUACACAAGUCUUACACAAUGUGUUAUGGGUCACGUUCCUGCUUCUCCUCCUGCUGUGCGGACUGAGUGCAUGGCGGAGCACAUCAACAGGUGUUCUCUCUCCGCUGCGGGUGUGCCUCUGCAAGAGAUCUGCAAUCAACACACCUGCCGGUGAUGAGCAACCAGGCUUCAUAAGCCAGCGCGUCUUAAGAUCCGGUGCCAGAAAGUAGUUUCUCCUACCAGUACACUUCCUCUUCAUCUACCUGGACCCACUUUGGAUUCCUUCUUGCCUCCCUGGACCAAGACCUCGCUCCUGCCUUCUGACGUCCAAGCCUUUUUCUUCUUUUGGACUUCCACCUCUAUCUCAACACGCACACUCAACACCCUCUGGUGACCACGCUCAGAUAAUACUUACACAUAGUCACACUCCAUCUCUUUAAGGUAAUCACACACUGCACUCACAUACUGAGUUGUCAAUAAACACGCUGGCAGCUAA